AAUCUGAGACAGAAAUCGAAACAAAAUUAAGAUUAGAAGAAAAUACUGGGCCGGAAAAAACAACGCCAAUGAAGUUUAGAAGAAAUAGGAAAGAAGAGAAGCAAGGAUCAACUACAGAAGCUACAUGCGUCAGCGGGACCAUGGCUUGCUCCGCCUCCUCCUUGGUAGCGCCUGCACGUAGGAUUUCAAUCUUAACUUCCUGCAGUGAUAGCAGGUUCCCUAGGCCAAAAUCGAGACCACCAUCGCUGCUGGCCAUUCCUCUUGCCUCCCGCACAUAAAACAACGGCCAGAGCCGAAGCUCUCUGAGCCUUGGCAUAGCUUCUUGUUAAAUCGCGAGAACCAACAGCUUACGAGGCACGGGAAGGAACCAGCACCAACAACGAAUCCCUGAAGGAUGCCCAGGUUCUUAUUGUCCACCUCCAGAUUUACAUAGUGGAGAGCUGGCAACCUCCCGAGGAUUUCGAGGUCGCCCUGAUGCAGCUCCCUCACGGCGAUGGUUAGACAGGUGAGAUCCGGAACAAGCGAUGGAUUCACCCAAGCUGGCAGUGUUGAAAACCAACAACUGUAUUGUGUAACCAAGUCACGGAGACGUCGAGGGGCAACCCAGGUAUCCAAUCCACCUAUGCUGCGGUGAGGAUGACGGAGCAUGAUCGAUACACAGUUCCUGAAUCUUUUGUAGCUUGUGCAGGCACUCUAACAGCUUGUCAUUCCACUCCUCCAAUUUAAUCCACAGCCGCCUCAGUUCAUUUAGCUCGCCCAACUCUUCUAUAAUGUUUAUGGCGGAGUCAUCAAUGUAUAACUGUGACAGCAGCUCAAGGCAUGUUAGUUUUCUUCACUUGACAAGGAACGGAUAAGAUCCAGCACCAUAUCAUGUAUGCGACAGCCAUUUACCAUGCCAGUUGAUGAGUUAUGUAUCGGUUGGAUCAUACUUCUGAUUAUGAGCUCGUUGAAGUAAAACUCUCCGAGUUCAAAUAGGCAAAAUAUAAUAGAAGUCCAAUCAGAAUCUUUGCCAAAACAUAAUAGAAGUCCAAUCAGGAAUAAAGACCAUAUAUUUUGCUAUAUUAUUUUUGCACUCCAUAAUGAUGUAAAAAAAGACAAAGCGAUUGUAUUUUAUUAUUGGCUAAAAAGUCUUUAUGAGAGCUAAACACACCAGGUAAUUGGAUAGAUUAUGAAAACCUUAGCACCCAGAUUAUUGUAAUCCCACUCUCUCUCUCCAUCCUACUUUUGAGGAUAUAAACACAACUAAAAAAAAGAUGAUUAGAAGGAAAUAAAGUGGGGAGGAUGUGUUAGAAUAACGGAGAAAGAACAACCGGAGCUAAGGUGGCAUAGGAUGGGAAAAAACCAACGCAAUUAAGUUUAGAAGAAAUGGGAAACGACACUCCGCUCCACCGUCUCCAUCAUGGAGCAGCUCCACCAUAUAUUUAUAUCAUGGUUGGGAUGAUUGGGAUGCAUUCUAGCUGCCAGCGUCAGCGCAGCCUUGGCUUUCUCCGCCGCCUCCUUGCUAGCGCCUUCACAUCGGAGCUGAGCCACGACCAUCUGCAGCGAUGGCAGGUUCCCCAGGCCCAAGUCGAGGCCACCAUCGCUGCUGGCAAUUCCUCCUCCCUCCCGCACGUAAAACAACGACAAGAGGUCAAGCUCUCUAAGCCUUGGCAUAGCUCCUUGUUGAAAUACCACUGGCCAUACAAAUUGAGAGAAGGAACAGAGUACAAGGCACGGGAACGAACCAGCACCAACAACGAAUCCCUGAAGGAUUCCCAGGUUCUUGUUGUCCACCACCAGACUUAGUGUGCGGAGAGCUGGCAACCUCCCGAGGAUUUCGAGGUCGCCCUGAUGCAGCUCCCUCACAGCGAUAUAUAGGCAGGUGAGAUCCGGAACAAGUGAUGGAUUCACCCAAGCCGGCAGUGUAGA
rnacentral:lncRNA from 1 species